AUUGAACGCUGGCGGCAGGCCUAACACAUGCAAGUCGAGCGGAUGAAGGGAGCUUGCUCCUGGAUUCAGCGGCGGACGGGCGAGUAAUGCCUAGGAAUCUGCCUGGUAGUGGGGGAUAACGUCCGGAAACGGGAGCUAAUACCGCAUACGUCCUGAGGGAGAAAGUGGGGGAUCUUCGGACCUCACGCUAUCUGAUGAGCCUAGGUCGGAUUAGCUAGUUGGUGGGGUAAAGGCCUACCAAGGCGACGAUCCGUAACUGGUCUGAGAGGAUGAUCAGUCACACUGGAACUGAGACACGGUCCAGACUCCUACGGGAGGCAGCAGUGGGGAAUAUUGGACAAUGGGCGAAAGCCUGAUCCAGCCAUGCCGCGUGUGUGAAGAAGGUCUUCGGAUUGUAAAGCACUGUAAGUUGGGAGGAAGGGAAGUAAGUUAAUACCUGGCUAUCUUGACGUUACCAACAGAAUAAGCACCGGCUAACUUCGUG
rnacentral:rRNA from 1 species